UACGAAGGGUGCAAGCGUUAAUCGGAAUUACUGGGCGUAAAGCGUGCGCAGGCGGUUGUGCAAGACCGAUGUGAAAUCCCCGGGCUCAACCUGGGAACUGCAUUGGUGACUGCACGGCUAGAGUGUGUCAGAGGGGGGUAGAAUUCCACGUGUAGCAGUGAAAUGCGUAGAGAUGUGGAGGAAUACCGAUGGCGAAGGCAGCCCCCUGGGAUAACACUGACGCUCAUGCACGAAAGCGUGGGGAGCAGACAGG
rnacentral:rRNA from 1 species